CUUUGCCUCCCCAUGCUCCUGAAUCCCUGGAAUCCCUCUGGGCACCCCUAGAGGAUACACAGAAUGUGGCAAAGCUCCAGGGGCUGGGGGCUGGGGCUCUAGGCAGCAGGACCUUCCCUUGACCCAUGGGUAUCUCUGUCAAACACUCCCUGCUUUUUGGGGGAAAUCUCUUCAGCUUUAGGGGAUAAGUGCAGGUGUUCCAGGCAUGUUCCAGUGCAACUGGAGGUGCAGAUCUUACCAAAGAGGUGUCCCUCCUUUGGGAGGAGAGAGAAGCCAGGCUGUCUCUGGUCUGUAAAGUGUUCAUAUUUUCAAUCACUGGUGGAUUCCUCACUGAAGGAUACAGAACUCAGAUAUGCUGUGCAUGUGAUAAAGAAAAUAUAGUCCAAAAUUUCAUCCUGAUGUAGAGGUUAAAAAAGCUAUUCUAAUACUUGUCUUUGUUUCCCACUGUCCAAACAAGAAAAAAAUUAAAUUGAUUUUCCUCAUGCUGGGACAGUUUUGGAAGAAAAUAUAAUUCCAGCAGAACUACACUACAAUACAUGACUGAUAAUCUUAUCUAUGUGUGGCAAACAUCUACAAAACAUAACAUUUUAUUUAUGUUAAGGCAAUGAAUUCUGCUGCUUAAUUAAUUCAGUAAAUAUGUCCUGGAAAAUUACAUGGGUCUUAUGGCUGGAAGGAUGCUGUUAUUUAGAACACGGUUAUCAGGACUGAGCCAUCCCUUACCCAAGGCUACAGCAGAGCACUUUCUGGUUUCCGAGAAGACACAGCAACCACAUCUGCCACUCCAGGAGGACUGCAGCCACUCCAAUUUGGACUGCUACCAGCACGCUGGCCAAAGGGGUGUCAGGUUGUAUUCUGACUUUGCCAGUGGUCUUCCUUUUGUAUCAUUGCAUGUAUUUUUGUCUUUUUUUCCCUUUUCCCAAUAAAUUGUAUUUCUGACUUGGAGUCUCUCAUUGGUUUUGC